AGCUUUGCGCAGUGACAGUAUCGUAACCAAUGAGGUUUAUAUGAGGCAUAAUUAUUGCUAAUUGAAAAAUUAAAUGUAAGCUAUGUGGUGGUGACCUCCAUGCCUUUUAUCCCAGCACUCUGG
ensembl:snRNA LOC120101133 U4 spliceosomal RNA